rnacentral:rRNA from 1 species
AUUGAACGCUGGCGGCAGGCCUAACACAUGCAAGUCGAACGAGUGGCGGACGGGUGAGUAAUGUCUGGGAAACUGCCCGUUGGAGGGGGAUAACUACUGGAAAUGGUAGCUAAUACCGCAUACCAUCGGCGGUGCCCAGAUGGGAUUGGCUAGUGGGUGGGGUAACGGCUCACCUAGGCGACGAUCCCUAGCUGGUCUGAGAGGAGGACCAGCCACACAGGAACUGAGACACGGUCCAGACGCCUACGGGAGGCAGCAGUGGGGAAUAGUGCACAAGGGGCGCAAGCCUGAUGCAGCCAUGCCGCGUGUAUGAAGAAGGCCUUCGGGUUGUAAAGUACUUUUGGCGAGGAGGCGUUACUCGCAGAAGAAGCACCGGCUAACUCCGUGCCAGCAGCCGCGGUAAUUC